rnacentral:rRNA from 1 species
UAGGCCUAACACAUGCAAGUCGAACGGAAACGAUGGGAGCUUGCUCCCAGGCGUCGAGUGGCGGACGGGUGAGUAAUACUUAGGAAUCUGCCCAGUAGUGGGGGACAACUCGGGGAAACUCGAGCUAAUACCGCAUACGCACUACGGUGGAAAGUGGGGGAUCUUCGGACCUCACGCUAUUGGAUGAGCCUAAGUCGGAUUAGCUUGUUGGUGGGGUAACGGCCUACCAAGGCGACGAUCCGUAGCUGGUCUGAGAGGACGAUCAGCCACACUGGGACUGAGACACGGCCCAGACUCCUACGGGAGGCAGCAGUGGGGAAUAUUGGACAAUGGGCGCAAGCCUGAUCCAGCAAUGCCGCGUGUGUGAAGAAGGCCUGCGGGUUGUAAAGCACUUUCAGUAGAGAAGAAAAGCCUAGGGUUAAUACCCCUGAGUCUUGACGUUACCUACAGAAGAAGCACCGGCUAACUCCGUGCCAGCAGCCGCGGUAAUACGGAGGGUGCGAGCGUUAAUCGGAAUUACUGGGCGUAAAGCGCGCGUAGGCGGCUUGGUCAGUCGGAUGUGAAAGCCCCGGGCUUAACCUGGGAAUUGCAUUCGAUACUGCCGAGCUAGAGUAUGGUAGAGGGAAGUGGGAUUUCCGGUGUAGCGGUGAAAUGCGUAG